AGAUUUUUGACAGCAGAGCAAACUUUGACCUUUCAUUGAGCAAAGUCCAAUGUCAGUAAUUGUAAAUUCAUUUGCGUUUUGGUAACCAACUUGCGUGCGGCAUAACUUAGCCGCCUACAUUGUGAGCACACGCCACUAAAUUUUAACGACUUAUUUGGCAUAAAAUAACUAAAAUUAUUGCUUAUUAUCAUUGGCAACGGGAUUCUAAAAGCAAAAGGGCUCAUUCAUUCAGCAAACGAGUGAACGAAAUACAAACAGCAAAAAAACCUUAACUACGCCCUUGUCCAUGGACCAUCGAAAUUUUUAAAAGUUUGCAGAACCAAGGUGCCAAGCUUCCGCAGCAGCAACAGGAACACAGGGA